ACCAGAACACCACAAACCACAGAUAAGGCUAUCACAACAUGCCCACUGUUGCCUGAAACAUAUGUGUAUUGCAAUUCGUUUAGAAAAUAUGUGCAGUCUUGAGGGCGUCAGCUUGCGUAUGUUUC